rnacentral:rRNA from 1 species
AUGGAAAGCAUUGCCCAUUGCUAUCCAUCAUCCAUUGCUAUCCAUCUAUCCAUAAUCCAGAAUAGGGUGUGGACCGCCGAUAGGUUGCAACGUCGGAGAUGGCCGAAGUGCAACCUUUGCCCUCUUUGCAAGCAGGUUCAAGAGACGGCAGCCCACCUCCUCUUCCGGUGCCGGUUCACAAUGAUAGUGUGGACGGAGAUUAAGACUUCGCUUGGUUUUCACGGCAUCGACCCGACAGAUUGGAGACUUGUGCCCUCGGUGAGAGUUUGGUGGGACGAGGUUUGUCACAAGAGGGGUGACUCGCGCAAGGCUCGUAACACCUUGAUGAUGCUUGUUGCGUGGGAAAUCUGGAACGAGCGCAGCGCGAGGAUCUUCUGCAACACCGCCGCCCCUACUAUCGUCGUCAUCACCUAGAUUAAGGAUGAAGCCUCUCUUUGGGCUCAUACGGGAUGCGAAGUAUUUGAGUAA